rnacentral:lncRNA from 10 species
ACUGGCCUUAGGAGCAGGAGGCCGAGCAGCCAGGGCUGCUUUCCCAUCGCUGUCUCAGCUGCUCCCGCUGGCCUUCUGCUCAGGCUGGUGUCUCCUUGGCCGGCUCCCUGCUUCUCAGCUCAUGCCUCCAGCCUUCUGGACUCUAGGAUCACAUGUGGCUGCCCACCUCGGACAGGGUUGACUAGAGGUGAAGAGGUGCCAUGCACUCCAGGAGAAGAGCUGACUGGAUCCUAUACUCAAAGAAUGGGCCACGGAUCCCUACCUGUCCACUGUUUGUUACUGGGCUGGGAAGCUGCAAGACCCGAUGCUGGGGAGCCCACCAUGAAAUCUGUCCCAAAUCAUGGAACCCCGAGGUGAAAGGCCCCCAGGCAUGCCAACACAUGGCAGACAAAUCCAGUUGUGUCCAGGGAUGGCGUUCCCUCCAGUUUUCUGAAAGACGCUCCCAUAUUCCUUAAGCACAGGGAUCUACUAAAGGAUGUGCUCCUUAAAAAUGAGGGAGUAAGCCGAGAAAGAGGAAGAUGUGGGCUCUAGAAAAUGGAAUCCAAUGCAGCAAAAGGUAAAGGGGAUUUUUAGAAUCACGACCAAGAGAACUCUGAGGUCAACAGCUGUGCAGCAGGCCUAGAGAAUGAUCUGUGAAGAUGGGUACAGGAGGAGGAGGGACUCUAGGUGGGAGGGCUCUAUCAUGUGGUGGUACUGGUGUCAGCCCAUUGGAGCCAAUUGUUAAAUAUUUGGGAAUGUUGUAAGCCAGUUUUUAAACACAGUCAUUAUUUAAAAAGUAAAUUAUAAAAGGCUUAAUCAUAUUAGAAAUAAAGAUGAUAAAUAUUCCAAAUUCA